rnacentral:rRNA from 1 species
CCUACGGGAGGCAGCAGUGAGGAAUAUUGGUCAAUGGGCGGGAGCCUGAACCAGCCAAGCCGCGUGAGGGAAGAAGAUACAGCGUAUCGUAAACCUCUUUUGUCAGGGAACAAAGGCGGGGACUAGUCCCCGGAUGAGGGUACCUGAAGAAAAAGCAUCGGCUAAAUCCGUGCCAGCAGCCGCGGUAAGACGGAGGAUGCGAGCUUUAGCCGGAUUUAGUGGGUUUACAGGGUGCGCAGGCGGCCUGUUAAGUUAGCGGUCAAAGCCCGGGGCUCAACCCCGGCGAGCCGUUGCAACUGGCGUGCUGGAGUUGGAGAGAAGUACGCGGAAUGCGCGGUGUAGCGGUGAAAUGCUUAGAUAUCGCGCAGAACCCCGAUUGCGAAGGCAGCGUACCGGCUCCACACUGACGCUGCGGCACGAAAGCGUGGGUAUCGAACAGGAUUAGAUACCCGAGUAGUC